rnacentral:rRNA from 1 species
UACGUAGGGUGCAAGCGUUACUCGGAAUUACUGGGCGUAAAGCGUGCGCAGGCGGCUUUGCAAGCCAGAUGUGAAAUCCCCGGGCUCAACCUGGGAACUGCAUUUGUGACUGCAUGGCUAGAGUGCGGCAGAGGGGGAUGGAAUUCCGCGUGUAGCAGUGAAAUGCGUAGAUAUGCGGAGGAACACCGAUGGCGAAGGCAAUCCCCUGGGCCUGCACUGACGCUCAUGCACGAAAGCGUGGGGAGCAAACAGG